CUUUUCUUUCUAGUUACAUGUUACUAAUUAAUUACUUGUCGUUUUGUUAUUGUUGAUUUAGUUUUGUGGAGGUUCCUUCUUACAAUUAGUAGUUUCAUCUCAUGUUGGUGGCGUUGCAAGGGCUCCUGCCAUAAUCUUUCGCCAUGUUUCAGAGCUGGCUUGUGUACGCCUAGGCCAGUUGCAUUAAAGCUUUCUGUUGAUAUUCCUCCUCUACUCACUGAGCAGCGUGUCCUUGAUGCCCUCUCCCCACUUCUAUUCGUGGCGGAACCUGUGCCAUUCCUUGUGCUUAUGGCUGUGGGAAAAUUGUGAUCAGUCAGGCACUUUCCAAGGCUGUUGCGGUUGAAGGAAUCAUGCCAGCUAAUGCUAUGUUUCUCUAGCGAGAUCCUGUACAAGUUCGACAACGUUUCCAUCUGCUU